UAUCGCGGAAUACCAUUGAAGGUCCAUAUCCGCCCACCAAUGCGUUCGAUUUCUAGAAGAGAAUUCCGCCUGGUUGACGGUAUUUGACGACGGCCGGAGACGUUUCAUCAAAGUAUUGAAUCUUAGCCUUAUUGACAUCGUUUUUGUCGAGAUUGCUGGCUGUGGUUUUGGAAAAUGGACAAAAGAAAUCUAUUAUUUUUCUGCAAAUGCCCCGCGAAUUAGACUCCGAUGGCGUUACCGUCUCUGGAACCAGCUUAUUCGAUGAGGACGACGGAGUGUAAGUGUGUACAACCAAAAUAUUUUUGAACAUCACCCUGUUAUGCCCUGUCUUUUUAACGUUUUCUUGUUUCAAAAUGCCUAGUUUAUUUUCCGUAAAAAUUGGCAUUUUAUGAAGAGGUUUUCUUGUGAUGUUGAACAAAUGGUUAAUGCAUAGCUCCCAAACUUUGGAAAGAAUAAUUUCAUUCUUCAAUUUACUUUUCAAGAACAAUAAGAGGAUGAAAUACGCGCUCACCGACAAGAUCGCGAUGAUGCUCAUAUGUAACGGAUUCCCAAGACCCGUUUCGAAUAGAAAGCUCGCACACGAAUCUCAUCAAAAUCCGUAUAUACACCAAAUAAAAAAUAUAUCUGCCUA